rnacentral:rRNA from 1 species
GACGAACGCUGGCGGCGUGCUUAACACAUGCAAGUCGAACGGGAGUAUUGAAGAAGCUUGCUUUAGAGAUACUUUAGUGGCGGACGGGUGAGUAACGCGUGAGGAGCUGUCCAAUGCAGGGGGACAACAGUUGGAAACGACUGCGAAUACCGCAUAAGCCGAGAGGUAAAAGGAUUUAUCCGGCAUGGGAGGUGCUGGCGUACUAUCAGCUGGUAGGUGAGGUAACGGAUGACCUAGGCGAAGACGGGGAGACGGCCUGAGAGGGCGAACGGCCACACUGGAACUGAGGGACGGUCCAGACUCCUACGGGAGGUAGCAGUGGGGAAUAUGGGGAAAUGGGGGGAACCCUGACCCAGCGACGCCGCGUGGGUGAAGAAAUCCUUCGGGAUGUAAAGCCCUGUUGUAUGGGAAGAGCGGAAGACGGUACCAUACGAGGAAGCCCCGGCAAACUACGUGCCAGCCGCCGCCGUAA